AUACGUAGGGGGCGAGCGUUGUCCGGAAUGAUUGGGCGUAAAGGGCGCGUAGGCGGCGCGGUAAGUCUGGAGUGAAAGUCCUGCUUUCAAGGUGGGAAUUGCUUUGGAUACUGCCGCGCUUGAGUGCAGGAGAGGUUAUCGGAAUUCCCGGUGUAGCGGUGAAAUGCGUAGAGAUCGGGAGGAACACCAGUGGCGAAGGCGGGUAACUGGACUGCAACGGACGCUGAGGCGCGAAAGUGUGGGGAGCAAACAGGAUUAGAUACCCUGGUAGUCCACACUGUAAACGAUGAAUGCUAGGUGUAAGAGGUAUCGACCCCUUUUGUGCCGGAGUCAACACAAUAAGCAUUCCGCCUGGGGAGUACGGCCGCAAGGUUGAAGCUCAAAGGAAUUGACGGGG
rnacentral:rRNA from 1 species